CUUUGGAGGGAUCUCUCUUGUGACAGUGGUCUGGUUGGAAGCAGGAGGUCCUCUCCUCCACAAGCCCAGGAAGCAAGGAGGGUUACUUGUAGUACUACCACAUGCCCAGAGGCCAGGAGACAUGCUCUCUUGGUGCAUAAAUAAAUCUGAAGGUGACUACACCAGAUGAAAUAUUAAUAAAAACUCCUCCUUUUCACUUCUGCCAUACCUUUGGUGGUUCUUUGCAUCCAGUCAAACCAGAUGCAAAGAGGAGCAUUUAACUGCAUACCAGUUGCUGAAGACUGGUACCUGCUGCCAAGUGUUGUAAAUAAAAAGUUGCCAGAGUGCAGUU